UACGUAGGUGGCGAGCGUUGUCCGGAUUUACUGGGCGUAAAGGGCUUGUAGGCGGUCCGCUAAGUCUGGUGUGAAAUCUCCCGGCUCAACUGGGAGGGGUCAUCGGAUACUGGCGGACUUGAGGGGGGUAGAGGAAAGCAGAAUUCCUGGUGUAGCGGUGAAAUGCGUAGAUAUCAGGAGGAACACCGGUGGCGAAGGCGGGUCUCUGGGCAGUAACUGACGCUGAGGAGCGAAAGCGUGGGGAGCGAACAGG
rnacentral:rRNA from 1 species